rnacentral:tRNA from 2 species
UGUGGUUUAGUUUAGAAAGAAUAUUUACUUUUGGUGUAAGAGGGUAUAACUACAU